AAUAUUGCACAAUGGGCGAAAGCCUGAUGCAGCGACGCCGCGUGAGGGAUGACGGCCUUCGGGUUGUAAACCUCUUUCAGUAGGGAAGAAGCCUUUCGGGGUGACGGUACCUGCAGAAGAAGCGCGGGCUAACUACGUGCCAGCAGCCGCGGUAAUACGUAGGGCGCAAGCGUUGUCCGGAAUUACUGGGCGUAAAGAGCUCGUAGGCGGUCAGUCGCGUCUGCUGUGAAAACCCGAGGCUCAACCUCGGGCCUGCAGUGGGUACGGGCUGACUAGAGUGUGGUAGGGGAGACUGGAAUUCCUGGUGUAGCGGUGGAAUGCGCAGAUAUCAGGAGGAACACCGAUGGCGAAGGCAGGUCUCUGGGCCACAACUGACGCUCAGACACGAAAGCGUGGGGAGCAAAC
rnacentral:rRNA from 1 species